rnacentral:rRNA from 1 species
CCUACGGGAGGCAGCAGUCGAGAAUCAUUCACAAUGGGGGAAACCCUGAUGGUGCGACGCCGCGUGGGGGAAUGAAGGUCUUCGGAUUGUAAACCCCUGUCAUGUGGGAGCAAAUUAAAAAGAUCGUACCACACGAGGAAGAGACGGCUAACUCUGUUCCAGCAGCCGCGGUAAUACAGAGGUCUCAAGCGUUGUUCGGAAUCACUGGGCGUAAAGCGUGCGUAGGCUGUUUCGUAAGUCGUGUGUGAAAGGCGCGGGCUCAACCCGCGGACGGCACAUGAUACUGCGAGACUAGAGUAAUGGAGGGGGAACCGGAAUGCUCGGUGUAGCAGUGAAAUGCGUAGAUAUCGAGAGGAACACUCGUGGCGAAGGCGGGUUCCUGGACAUUAACUGACGCUGAGGCACGAAGGCCAGGGGAGCGAAAGGGAUUAGAUACCCGAGUAGUC